AUGUUGGCUAUGUUUGUCAAGGGGCACUUUAGGAAUUUCCUUUCUUCAGGUGUCAGCUAAUGUGGUUGAAACAGAGAGAGGAUGCCAGCUGUUGUUGUUAAAAUAAAUGGAGAGAAGGAGAUAACACAGAAGAUAGAGAUAGAGAAGAUAGAGUAGAGUAGAGUGAAAGGAAGCCGGAAGAGGAGUCGGCCAUGUACUCCUGGUUUUGGUGAUGAACAAUUGAACAGUAAUAGCGGUGGUCUGCAGGACGGCUAAUGAUGUUGCGGUGGUUGUAGCCGGCGUGGGUGGAUUUCUUUAUGUACUAUCUUUGCGGAAGAGAAUAGUGGUAAUGAUGAAAGACAUUACCGGUGAACCAAAACAACCGCUGUAAAUUGCUUAGAAAGCUACUACGAAGACAGGUGUUGAUUUGUAGAGGGAGAGAGAGAGAAAGUGACGAUUGUGUGGGUUUUAUCUUUAUGUACUUUUUUUAAGAAAUAAAGUACCAAACAAUUUUGAGUUUUUGAUUUCUGGUUUUUGAUCUUCAGAUACGAAGUUGAUGAUGGUGAUUUUUAAUUUGCAGAAAGUAUCAAAAGUGUAGGUGGUGAGUAGUAAUGGUGUUUUUCAUAUGAAGAUAGCAGAGGAUGAUGAUGCUGCCACAAAGCAUUAAAGGUCUCAAAAUCUUGGAAAAAUCAUUGUAUUAAAUGUAUUUAAAUAAUUCUACGGUUUGAUUUAAAAAACAAAAUUAUUCAUAAAAAUACAUUUAUUAAUUGUAUUGAUAUAAC
rnacentral:lncRNA from 1 species